rnacentral:rRNA from 1 species
GACGUAGGGCGCGAGCGUUGUCCGGAUUUAUUGGGCGUAAAGAGCUCGUAGGCGGUUUGUCGCGUCGGGAGUGAAAACCAGGUGCUUAACACCUGGCUUGCUUUCGAUACGGGCAGACUAGAGGUAUUCAGGGGAGAACGGAAUUCCUGGUGUAGCGGUGAAAUGACGCAGAUAUCAGGAGGAACACCGGUGGCGAAGGCGGUUCUCUGGGAAUGACCUGACGCUGAGGAGCGAAAGUGUGGGGAGCGAACAGG